AAUGCCUGCUGCUUCUCCAAGCCUUCAUGGAAGGCGAUUUCUUUCCAGCGCAUCUCCAGAGAUGGCUAGGCCCUGCUCUCCCUGGACACCCUGCUCUGUCCCAUCCUGAGGGACAGUGCCUAGAGCAGACUGGCCCAUGUCGUGUCCUUUCCCAAAGUCCAGAGGCAAGGAGACAGGCACUGACAGACAUUUGAGCCAGAUAAAUAGGAGAGGCCCAGGGGUUCUACUGGCUACACAAAGAGCAGACAGAGUUCAGAGAGGGAGUGCACAUCUAUGACCAGGAGUCCAGGGAAGAGUAAUGGAAGAAGAGAUAUCAGAGCUCAACUCAGUCCUUAAGGCUCCCAGGAUCCUAUUCCCCUGGAAGGACUUCCAGAAAGUCACUACCCCUGACAAGACUCAGAUCGGCUCCUGGACAUGAAUGACAGGGGUUUGUGACACCUCAGAAAUCGAGUACAAGCCUGUGUGUGCCUAGGUGUGCAUGAGCACACAGGGACUUUUCUAAGGAGUGGCCUCCAGCUCUCAUCAAGGAGGGAUGUGCCCCAAAAGGUUGGAAGCUCCCAUUCAUUCAUGUCCCUCAGCCCUCCCACUGUGGACAGCCCCCUGAACUCCAGGUCCCGUGGAGUCAGGAGAACUAGGGAGGGAAAUGUGAUCCCUCCUCACCCCCACCCCAAGCUGCCUGACCCUGCUGCACUGCCAGGUGCCUGAGAGUCCAUCUGCAAACAGCGCAGUCACCUACACCUUGCAAAGCAGAAUGGGCACUGACGGGAGUUCAGAGAGAGGUCUACUUCUCCCCGGAGUGGUUAAAGAAGUGGGGAGCCUAAAGUCUUCCAGUUGACCCUUGCAAUGCCAUUCUCUUUUGGAGAGCCCACACCUGGCAGUUCCUGUGUGUGAAUCCCAAGCAAUCCACACGUUCAGGUUUGAUUUGCCCUGUGGAGAAGCUUGGAGACCCCAGAGUGGAGGCAGUGAUGCCAAUGUCUACUUGAGUCAAGGAAGAUGGCAGCCAAAGAUUUCCAGCCACGAGCAAUGCUUCCUCCAAGAUGACCAGGCUGGGCUUUAUCCCGAGCUCCGUUCAAACCACACAGACAGCAAGCAGGGGUGUGGAGAUGCAGUCCACGCUGAGCUGGCCCUGGGGCCAGGCACCCUUCUGGAGGAGUCGGACAAGCCCCACAGUGAAGAAACUACCAGCCAGGGCUCUAGUCCCUGGGACCGAUCCCCACCCGUGCUGUCCGGUCCAUUUUGGCUUACUUUGCAGACGUGGUCACAGACGUACUAAGCCUUUCAAGGUGGCUUGGUAAGAAGAGUAGGCUUGGAUUGUGCGGAAUCAGAGUGAGGGGGUGGUGGCCCAGGUGAAAGGCUGGCUCCCAAAAAGAUGGGAAGUUUGAGUCUGUUUUCCACUGCCAAGAGUUUUGGAAACCUUGGGUUCAUCUAAGCCAGCACCCUGGAGAUCUGCCAGCACAGAGACCCUGGACCUUACAGGGGGUCCAGGACCUUACAGGACCCGACCCUGCAGGAGCCAGAGCCUUUCCCUGGGGUCCAAAAGAAGCUGAGGGAGAGGCACGGGUCCCUCAUCUGUGCCUGCGCCUGCGCACGUCAUUCUUGUCACGGCUCAUGGUCCAAAAGGCUCUGCAGCAAAGAUUCAUCUGUUUCAAUUUUCAUGGAAAUGAAGCAUUUUAUCUCAGAACACAGGGGGAAGAGUGAACUCCCAUUCCUUAAUGCAGAUGGACUAGAUCCCUUUUCACUUUCUUACUUUAAAAGGGAAAUCCGAAUGCUGCUGCCAUUUGCUCCGUUGGAUGCCGCUGAUAAUUCCUAAAGCUAGGCGAAUAGAUCCAGAGCCAGGUUCCUUGCCACAAGCCCGCCUGGCGCACACCCGAGCUGCCACAGCCUCGACUGAGCUGGGCCGGGAAGCAGCCUGACAGAGGAAAACGAAGGCCUUGAGAAAGAGGCCUGGAACGCUGAGUCCAAAGCCUGGUGUCCUCAGGAAGGUUUUGGGAAACAGCGUCCAACCCCAGCCUGCAGUGCUGUGGUCAGCCCACAGGAGCCAGCCAUGGAUCUGCUCCGGCUGCUCGCGCCCUGCCCGGCACUCAGCAGCAGCCCUGCUAUCAACUGACCAAGCCCGGACUGCGCCGGGGGUUCAUCUGCAAUCCUCACUGAAGAUCCUUGGGCUGAGUGUGGCCCCAUGUUACGGACUAGGAAACUGAGGCUCAGAGAGCUUAGGGUCCACACAGCUUAUUCAUGGUAGAAUCAAGAGUUGAAUCCACAUCUUUGAUUUCUCAGCCUGUGGCCUGCAUUUCUACACUAGGCCAUGAGUGACUCAAGUUCCAGCCCACUCUAUCAGGCUUCUGUGCUCUGCUCCUUGUAUGGAUAGUAUAGUUCAGCUCCAUAAAUAUGCCCUAUGCCUUCCUGCCUUCUGGACUGACUGCUUUACCUUCCCUGCCCCUCAGCUUUCCCUCCAACUUUGCCAUUUUACACUGAUUCUGUCUGCACAAAAACACUCUUCCUACCCCUCUUCCUGGCCCCCUUGGUAUAUAGUUCUCCUUCAUUGUUCUUAAAGUACGUCCCCAGAUCAGCAGCCUCAGCAUGAGCUCCUACGCAGGACCUGCUGAAUCAGACACUCUGGGCACGGAGCCCAAGGAUCUGUUUUAACAAGCCCUCCGGUGAGUCUGAUGCACGACAAGCUUGAGAACCACUGGGCUCCGUCCCGCUUCUCCAGACCCCAACAAGUCUUGGUGACAAUUAAGGGUAAGCUUAGCUCUUGUUGUGGUCUUGAUGAGCUCUCCUCAAUGGGUAUAUUAUGGAGGGAUCCUAAGUGGCUAAUAAGGAAGGGGAUGAAAGUCGGUUUUGGCUUUUGCUGCUGUUCCCAACCCCCUUCUUGCCAUCCUGCUCUGGAGCAGCUGACAAAAGUGACCAUUAUCAUCGUCCUCUCAGAGCCAGCUUUGAUGCCCUCACUUAUUGCCUCCCUGACUCGGAUGAAACCUGAGUGCAGUCUCUGCACAAAAAUCACCCAGGACCAUCAGAAUCCAAUCUCAAAGAACUUCUCCAGAUUUUUGUACCUGAAUUGCCUGUGUGGCUCCCUCCUGGCCUUUUCCCUGAGGGGUCUUAUCAGCCCACAGCCCAAGCCCAUUUGUCC
rnacentral:lncRNA from 1 species